GUUAAGUUACUUUAUUAAGUUUCCUUUAUUAUCAGAGUUUUAUUUCCUUUUUUACUUACAUAAGGAUAUUAUUGUUAUAUAUAAUUUAUAUUCAAUAUAAAUACAAUGGGUGUAGGGUUUCUGUGACUACAGAAAACUAUAGCCCUCUCUUUCUUUCUUUUACGUUCUCUUUCUCCUCCUCUCUAUUUCUUCUCUCUUCCUUCUUUCUCUCUUUCUACUUGCUGCGGGUUCUCUAAUCAGUUUUGUGACAUGGUAUCAGAGCAGGUCUAAUUACCUAAUUACUUGAUCCUAUUGCUGGUUUGAGAGUCCCCUAGGGUUGGUGCACAGCCACCUAAAGCUGUAAUUUUUAUCGGUUUUCUCUUCAAGUUUUGAUACAUAUGAGAUCGGAAGAUAUCAAAUUCAUCAGGUUUGGUUUGUGAACAUGGAUUACAACACUUACUAAUCAGCGGAUUCAAGAAUCGGAGUACUUUAUUGAUUAUGGUUGACUGGUCUUGCUGGGUUUCCAUCAAGCAUAUAAUUAUUUGAAUCGAGAUUUCUGUGGUAGAUAUAUUUAUAUUGAGAUUAUCGUCAUGAGCGAUACUACUACAACUCCUGCUCUUGCUACUGUUGCUGCUAU
rnacentral:lncRNA from 1 species